ACCACUAUCGUGGUUAAACGGAGCCACUCCCACCAAAGCGGCAAUCUGUUUGGCAGUGCGUUGUCCCAAUUCGGGUAA
rnacentral:rRNA from 1 species